UUCGCGCGAUCGCCUUGAGUUGAUCAUGGCUCAGAUUGAACGCUGGCGGAAUGCUUCACACAUGCAAGUCGAGCGGCAGCGCGGGGCAACCUGGCGGCGAGCGGCGAACGGAUGAGUAAUGCAUCGGAACAUGUCCAUUCGUGGGGGAUAGCCCGGCGAAAGCCGGAUUAAUACCGCAUACGCCCGAGAGGGGAAAGCCGGGGACCGCAAGGCCUGGCGCGAUUGGGUUGGCCGAUGUCCGAUUAGCUAGUUGGCGGGGUAAAGGCCCACCAAGGCGAUGAUCGGUAGCUGGUCUGAGAGGGUGAUCAGCCACACUGGGACUGAGACACGGCCCAGACUCCUACGGGAGGCAGCAGUGGGGAAUUUUGGACAAUGGGGGAAACCCUGAUCCAGCCAUUCCGCGUGAGUGAAGAAGGCCUUCGGGUUGUAAAGCUCUUUUGUCCGGAACGAAACGGUGGACGUGAAUAUCGUCCGCUACUGACGGUACCGGAAGAAUAAGCACCGGCUAACUACGUGCCAGCAGCCGCGGUAAUACGUAGGGUGCGAGCGUUAAUCGGAAUUACUGGGCGUAAAGCGUGCGCAGGCGGUUUUGUAAGCCAGAUGUGAAAUCCCCGGGCUUAACCUGGGAAUGGCAUUUGGGACUGCAAGGCUUGAGUGCGGCAGAGGAGACUGGAAUUCCUGGUGUAGCAGUGAAAUGCGUAGAUAUCAGGAGGAAUACCGAUGGCGAAGGCAGGUCUCUGGGCUGACACUGACGCUCAUGCACGAAAGC
rnacentral:rRNA from 1 species